UCUAAUAUGGCAGAAUAGUGCAAUGAAUUUAAGAUUCAUAAAUAAAGAACUCCCUUUUAUUAGAA
rnacentral:tRNA from 1 species